UACGUAGGGUGCAAGCGUUGUCCGGAAUUAUUGGGCGUAAAGAGCUCGUAGGCGGCUUGUCACGUCUGCUGUGAAAACUCGGGGCUUAACUCCGGGCCUGCAGUGGGUACGGGCAGACUAGAGUGCGGUAGGGGAGACUGGAAUUCCUGGUGUAGCGGUGAAAUGCGCAGAUAUCAGGAGGAACACCGGUGGCGAAGGCGGGUCUCUGGGCCGUAACUGACGCUGAGGAGCGAAAGCGUGGGGAGCAAACAGG
rnacentral:rRNA from 1 species